GAACAGCUGAAGGAAGAGAAAAAAAACAGAUCGCACAGCCCAACCCCUGGCGAUUCCUCUCCCUCUCCCUCGUCUGGGCCUCCCCCACAUCCGGCGCCGCCACCAGCGCCCUUCCCCUCAGCCGCCGCCCCCGCCCCUUCUCUCCUCCCAUCAUCUUCUCCCCUCCAUCGGAAACCUUCUCCCCUCCCCCUCUCCCCAAAUCGAGCAACAGGUCCGGAUCCACGGCCACGACGGUGCGAGCACCAUGAUGCAGGCCGAGGCCGCGUGACGAGGGAGCUCGUUCUGGCUCUGACCCUUGUGCCGACGCCAUGGACAAGGAGAACAUCUCUGUUCAUGAGGCAGCCCCAACCCUAGCCUUUCCUUGCCAUGGCGACCGAGUAGGCAGGAGUUGCUCUGAUCCAUCUACUGAAGGAGGAUGUGCACCAUCCGAGGUGCUCAACAUCACCACCGCCAUUUGUUGCCUGCCAAGGAUGUAUCUACUGUGAUGCCACAUCUGUUAUUGUUGUGAAUAGAAGCUUCAAUGGAUGGACAAGAUGGUAGCAUCAUGCUUGUGUGUUCCUCUGUGCUGAACCGGCAAUACUUUCCAAAGCUUACAUCUCUCCUGGAUGAUUGUCAUGUUUGGCAGUUUGAAGGGUGAAUUAGCUUGGGGAACAACCAAUAUGAAGCUACAGACUUCAAGCGGACCAUGACUUUCUCAUUGUUGCAAGUUGGUGCCCUCGACAAGUAGUGGAAUCAUAAUUUUUGUAGCCAUAUCCAUUGUUUGAGUUGCUCUAAUGUUUGCACCGGCAACACAUUGCCAGGAAUCACUUCUUUGUGUUUGUUGUCGCAGACCGGCCAAUUCAGGUUACACAUGGUUUUGGUACCUCAUUAGCAGCUGCUGUCCCAUUUUUCUAUGUUCAGUAAAGAGCUCUGGACAUCUAUUAAACCAAGUGAAUGAAAUUAGUUGUUCACCAUGGCGCUCCACCGCUGUACGCACUAAGACGAAGAAUGGACAUCUUAGAAAAAUAUAAAAGGGUUGCUCCACGCAAGGUUCCAUUCCCAGAGCACAUUUUGAUAAGUUUAUGGGACAUAAUUAUUUACCUGGAAUUUAUUGAGAUCAAGGCAGCGAAAUAUUCCUUUCAUGUUGUGGACCAUCGUUUCGUGGCUUGGCAGGACAAAAAAUACAGAGAUUCAUCCCGUGAGUGGAAGGAAAUAGCUACAACGUCUUUUUGGAGUGAAACUGCUGAAGCUUUUGAUGCAGACAAACUCGAUACAGAUUAGUUGCAGGGUCUUGUGGUUGCUCUGUUAUAGGCUGCACAUAUAGAAACAAGAUUGUAAUGUUAUCUCCCUUUAAUUGUCUUUUUCUGGACAAGCUUUUCUGUCAUGGUGAUACAUCUCUUAUACUAACAGUCAUGGAGGGAUCUGAUCUGGUCAAGAUCUCCGAGCGCUCUGCAGAUCAUGUACCCGACCUGCUUGGAUUCGGCAGUACAGUCUUAUAAGAACAAGUAGUUAGUUAUAAUAAGAAAGGGGAAAGAGCCAUUAGAAAAACAUGGAACCGAGUCAGACUUAUUUGUUUAGGAACAUGACGUUCAGCCUAAAAUGGUGUUGGUGCUUCGUGAAAAGUUUCGCCAACACCAUUUUGACAAAUAGAAAAGUUGAGUACAGUAGCCGUUGGACCGAAAAUAAUAUAGCGAGCCACAAUAAAACAAAUAACAUAUUGGAUAUCACACUGUCUUAUGACUGAAUAGCAGAAAAAUAUGUUGGCAAAUUUUUAAAAGCAUGGUUAUUAUUGGUUUGAUAACCAAGCAGGGAAAUAGUUCCAAAAAAUAGACCAGCUUAAAUAAGAGUGCAUUUUUUUAUUAUUUCAUGAAGCAGAGAGUAUUUUAAUAAGCUGUAAGGUACUAAUUGUUUUCCUAUGUAGCUAAGUAUGAAGAUGGGGCCUCAAAAUUUUAGUACUACUUUCUUCUGCUUUGAAUUAUUAUUUUGAUUUUCAAUAAAUUAUUGCUUUCCGGUACUUUAUAUUUCUUAUUGUAUUUAGUUCGUGUCGAUUUGGGUAAUCAUGCAUCAUACAUUUCAAAUAUUUAAUUGCAGUCAUUCAGCUCAUCGACACUCGCGAAGAAAAUGGCCUCUUCUUCCAGUACCCGAAGCAGCCACAUAGCCAUAUGCCUCAUCCUAAUUCUCCUGGUCGUUAGCAUGCGAGAAGCCUCCGCCGUCAAGCCUGCCGGCCAGCGAUGUGAAGGACCAGAUGGUUGUCAAAUUUAGUGGGAGUUAAAUCUCCAACAGUUAGUUAUAGUGAAAUUGCAAACGAUUAUGUGGCUUCAAAGGAUCCUCAAUCCUGGCACGCAAGGUGAAAGCAGUAAAGUUGAUGCUGAUCUAGAAAGUUUUUUCUGAUAUUGAUGAUGUGGAGGUUCAUGGGUAUCUCCACAAUGAGGAAAAGACACAGUAGAAAAAGAUAAUUUGGGACGAAAUGAACAAAGAAUACCUAGAGGUAGGUAUUGUAACUCUAGCAAGAUGAGGUGGUUCUUAUUCUCACAAUAGGGUGUAAGUGUUACUGUCUGCUGCUUUAUUUGACAUGAAAAAUCCGCUGAAGUCAGCAUCGCGUGCCUGAAAAUCUACACGUAGUCAAGUACACUGACUGAAAGUGUACAAGUAGUCAAGUAGUCUGACGAGAGGGGAUUUUGAAAGAUGUUUGCUUGUUGUAGUUGUACGCUCUAAUGCGAUUAAGCUUUUUCAUAAUAUAAUCGUUGAACAGCGGUUCGAAAUAGUAAAAAUAUGUUUACCAGGCAUUGCUUACAUGCAGAUUUGCUAUACAAAUGGCAAACAACAACGAGAAAAGGGCAGUGUACCAACCUGGCACCGCCCAGCCACCACUCAGGCGGCGCGCCAAUGGUGCGCCCCAACCUCUAGUAAUUUAUAAACUGCGACGCUUUUGGCCGAUCGGUCGGCUCAGGUUAAAACAUCCGCCGCAACGACGCGUUAGCUUGUCGACGAACUCAUCAAAGCUCCGCUGCGAUGACCCGCCGUGCACCGUGGCGGUCUCGAGCGUCGCCCUCACCUUUUUUUUUAAUUAAAGGUAGAUUAUGUUCUACCUUAUAUAUUUCAAAACAGACAAAAAACCCGGCGGACAAAAGUCAAUUACAUGAAAGGUAAUGCAGAAACUGCACAGAGUGUGCAGGCGGCCACUACCAAACCGGGGAGUGGUGAAGAGAAAACAGUGAAGGAACUAGUGCUUUUACAUCUGGCAAACUAUGCGAGAGCAAUAGCCCACUGGCGCAACAACUGCUUAAUUUCAUGCUUCCUAGAUCGAUGGCACCAGAGCAGUAGUAACUGAGACGCUGUAUGAGCAGUAAACCUGUCCGGCCAAAUCUUUUUGUCGAAAAUUCGUGCGUUUCUGGCGCUCCAUAGAGUCACCGCAGCAGCAGCGAAAAUAAUUGGCCAGAGCCUUCCAAACCUGGUAGGGGUGCGCCCAUCUAACAUAUAAAGCCUCCUAGAAUCUAACAUACAACGAAGGCCUCGAGCGCACGGUACCACGCGAGCCGCGCCGCGCGUGGGGAUGCAGCACACCACGCGAAGGAAAAAAACACCGCACCGCAUCGAACCCUAGCCCCAAUCCACAGCCCCGCGCCCCUCGCUCCUCCCUCCUUCGUCCGCUGCCACUCCCUCCCACCUCCUCCUCCUACGCCCUAGGAGCCCCGCCGCCGACUGCUACUCCUCCACCGCCUCGCCUCUUCCUCCUCCUGGCCUUCCCAUCGCUCGGGCGCAGGCUUCCGUGGCCAAGCGCUUCGAGGGCGAACCCGUCUCCACCGCCAGCUCUGGGUUCGCGCGGGACGGGCUCCCCCGCCUGGCCGGCCUCGACGAGCAUGGCCUCGAUCCGGCCUCAGCCUGAGGACCUCGAGCCGAGGAGUGCGGCCUCGAUCGGGACUCGGCAUCUGGGGCGACGGCAGAGGAGGAGGGGAAAGGAGGGGAGCAGCAACCAACAUCUGGGGCGGCGGUGGAUGGACUCCAUGAGCUGGCCGGCGACGGCGGCGGUGCUGGAUUCGAUCUGCAGGAGAGAGAGGGAGGCGAGGAUUGGUGAAGAACUCCGUUGCCGCUGCGUGCCGUGCUUCUGGAUCGAGCGCUGCCUGACCAAGGGAUAAGAGUAUGAGGUAAAACUAGCCACCAUGCUCCUGUGCGGGCUGCAUCUCCACAUCUCCCGUUUCAUUAUUUCACCAUUGCUGCCUCUUCUCCUCUUCGUUGCUCUGCUUCUUCUCCUGAUUUCUCUUUUUCAUUUUUUCUCUUUGUGGCGCCGCCGGGGAUGAGAGGAGCAGCUGCUGAAGCAGGCGCGGUGCUGGUGCACUGCUGGCGAAGCGGUCGUCGACGUCGUCCUUGGCAGAAGUUCUCUAUGCAACAUCUAUUGCAGAAUUUCAUUCUCAGCUUCAUCGGCGUCAGCUUCAUCACCAAGAGGACGGACUCCGGAAGGCAGCCUCCUCCUAAGGCGCCAGGACCGGUAACUCCCGAAACGUCCAUCCUUCCUAACAUUAUUUUCUGGUGAUGCACCGUUAGGUUGCUGACCAUACGAUUGGUAGCCUUGGACAGAAGAGGGCCAGCAACAAACAGAAGCAACCAUUGUCCUGUCCAGAACAUGGAUCAGCUUUGGUGGCAUCCGAUGCUGCCAGACCACUGGGUUAGAGCAGAGGAAGCUGACAUGGUGUUCGACAUUCAGAUGGUCAUUGUGAUCGACCAGAUGCGGCGCCUCAUGUCACCCCGAGCCUCCAGGGCUUGUUAGCGGUGCUCAUAAAAGGUCUCAAGAAAGAUAAAAGAACUUGUGGUUCAAGCAGCAAGAAGAUAGCCAGCCUAAAUGAAUCAAAACAAGAACAAGCGUCGGGAAUUUACAAAUGAGGAAGUGCAGCUGGUGAUGUAAUUACUUUCAAUAGCGCUUCAGCUCUGCAAUCGACAGUUUGACCUCAUGCUAGGGCAGCCUCAGCCAGUUGCCUCUUCUAUCAA